CAGCCGCGUAAUUCCAGCUCCAAUAGCGUAUAUUAAAGUUGUUGCAGUUAAAAAGCUCGUAGUUGAAUUUCGGGAUUAAUAUGCUGGUCGUGCCAUUGGUACGUACUAGUAUUAUUGAUUUCUCCCUUCUGAUGAAUCAUGAUGUCAUUAAUUUGAUGUCAUGGGGAAUCAGGACUGUUACUUUGAAAAAAUUAGAGUGUUUAAAGCAGGCUCGCGCUUGAAUACAUUAGCAUGGAAUAAUGAAAUAGGACGUUUGAUUCUAUUUUGUUGGUUUCUAGGAUUGACGUAAUGAUUAAUAGGGAUAGUUGGGGGCAUUAGUAUUCAAUUGUCAGAGGUGAAAUUCUUGGAUUUAUUGAAGACUAACUACUGCGAAAGCAUUUGCCAAGGAUGUUUUCAUUAAUCAAGAACGAAAGUUAGGGGAUCGAAGACGAUCAGAUACCGUCGUAGUCUUAACCAUAAACUAUGCCGACUAGGGAUCGGAUGAUGUUAAUUAUGACUCAUUCGGCGCCUUACG
rnacentral:misc_RNA from 1 species